rnacentral:rRNA from 1 species
CCCGCUGAACUUAAGCAUAUCAAUAAGCGGAGGAAAAGAAACUAACAAGGAUUCCCCUAGUAACUGCGAGUGAAGCGGGAAAAGCUCAAAUUUAAAAUCUGGCAGUCUUUGGCUGUCCGAGUUGUAAUCUAGAGAAGUAUUAUCCGCGCUGGACCGUGUACAAGUCUCCUGGAAUGGAGCGUCAUAGAGGGUGAGAAUCCCGUCUUUGACACGGACUGCCAGGGCUUUGUGAUAUGCUCUCAAAGAGUCGAGUUGUUUGGGAAUGCAGCUCAAAAUGGGUGGUAAAUUCCAUCUAAAGCUAAAUAUUGGCGAGAGACCGAUAGCGAACAAGUACCGUGAGGGAAGGAUGAAAAGAACUUUGGAAAGAGAGUUAAACAGUACGUGAAAUUGUUGAAAGGGAAACGCUUGAAGUCAGUCGUGCCCUUCGGGAUUCAGCCUUGCUUCUGCUUGGUUUACUUCCUGUUGGGUGGGUCAACGUCAGUUUCGAUCGGAGGAGAAAGGCUUGGGGAAGGUGGCAGCAUUCGUGCUGUGUUAUAGCCCCUUGUUGUAUACUUCGAUUGGGACUGAGGACCGCAGCGCGCCUUUACGGCCGGGGUUCGCCCACGUACGCGCUUAGGAUGUUGGCAUAAUGGCUUUAAGCGACCCGUCUUGAAACACGG